GAUCUUGCCUGCCUUGGCCUCCCAAAGUGCUCAGAUUACAGGCCACCACACAUGAGCUGAAGCGGCCAGGCUCCUCCCCGCUGCACAAGGUGCGAAAUUCCUGUGGCUCCACCCCAGUCUCUCAGUGUGCAGCUUUCUCCAGAAUUGGGAAAUCCCUCAACCUGGCAAAAGUAUAGCUCAAAUGUGCCUCAGCUACCAUUUCCUGGUGGCAGUCCUCAACCAAUGGGUGCCGGGAAUUGGUGAACAACGCCCCAGCCCCCCAGCCUCCAGAGAAACAAUUCUAAGUGACAUGGAUGAUGAUAACCAGUCUAUGCCCACAGUGAUUAUCAGCUCAGCAAUGUACCCUUUACUGGCUUUUCUCCUUCCAUAUGUCACUAUUCCUGCUCCCUCACUCCUGCUUCCUGGAAUUACCUUCCCAGAAAAACUUCAUUCAGGUAAGCCAUAGUCCUAGGCUCUACUUGAGGGUAGGGGAAUCCAAACUAAAGUAAGUGUCUGUAGGACUUCAAAGUAAAGAUCCAAGUUAGACUUUCAGGAGAAGAGAUUUGGGGUAGAACUAUAAACUUACGUUUUCUUCCUAAUGGGAGCUGACAACACAGAAGUAGAUGAAAUUUUCCAGUAAUAGAAGAAAGGGGUCUAUGAGGAACCAUGAGGAACAACAACAUUUCUGGCACAGGCAGAAGAAGAGUCAAGGAGACAGAAACGACAAGAGAGGUAGAAGAACAAAGAAAGUUUGCAACAUGGAAAGCCAGGGAGGAGGAAGUUUCAAGAAAGAGUAGGUGAAUCUAUCCCAGCAGCAGCCAGGGUGGGCCUCUGUCCUCGAGCAGCACUGGAGCCAGACUCAGUUCCCGGAUCUUGCAGCCGAGGAGCCUCUCAAGCAUCCACAGCCCCCACCAGUGUGGGGACGGUGGAUCCUGUGGUGGACAUCCCCGGGGAUGUGACUGCCUGAUGGUGGCAGCAACAGCAGCAACAUCUGAGACCACGGAGUGGGGGUCUUUGGCAGAGACCCCAGGGCAGCUGAGGCAGCUGGGCUUCCUCCCAGCUCCAUCAGCCUUUGGGUCCAUGAGAAUCCCUUAUCCUUUACAGCCCUGCCCUGGCUCUGGGAAACUGGGGAUGGCCUCUGUGACCCCCCUUUGAGAGGUGAAGCCAGCUGGACUUCUGGGUCGGGUGGGGACUUGGAGAACUUUUCUGUCUUACAAGAGGA
rnacentral:lncRNA from 1 species